rnacentral:tRNA from 1 species
GGAAAUGUGGCUUAGUGGUAAAGUGCUUGCCUAGCAUGCAUGAAGCCCUGAGUUCAAUUCCUCAGUACCA